AGAGUUUGAUCAUGGCUCAGGAUGAACGCUGGCGGCGUGCUUAACACAUGCAAGUCGAACGGAACUCUUUGGAUCGAGGCUUCGGCCAAGUGAAACUGAGUUUAGUGGCGGACGGGUGAGUAACGCGUGAGGAACCUGCCUUUCAGAGGGGAAUAACAGUUGGAAACGACUGCUAAUACCGCAUAACGCAUAGAGACCGCAUGAUCUUUAUGCCAAAGAUUUUAUCGCUGAGAGAUGGCCUCGCGUCUGAUUAGCUGGUUGGCGGGGUAACGGCCCACCAAGGCGACGAUCAGUAGCCGGACUGAGAGGUUGGCCGGCCACAUUGGGACUGAGAUACGGCCCAGACUCCUACGGGAGGCAGCAGUGGGGAAUAUUGGGCAAUGGGCGCAAGCCUGACCCAGCAACGCCGCGUGAAGGAAGAAGGUCUUCGGAUUGUAAACUUCUUUUAACAGGGACGAUAAUGACGGUACCUGUUGAAUAAGCUCCGGCUAACUACGUGCCAGCAGCCGCGGUAAUACGUAGGGAGCUAGCGUUAUCCGGAUUUACUGGGUGUAAAGGGCGUGUAGGCGGGACUGCAAGUCAGAUGUGAAAAACUCCGGGCUCAACUCGAGAGCCUGCAUUUGAAACUGUAGUUCUUGAGUGAUGGAGAGGCAAGCGGAAUUUCCCUAGUGUAGCGGCGAAUGCGUAGAUAUU
rnacentral:rRNA from 1 species